AGUGAACGCUGGCGGUAGGCCUAACACAUGCAAGUCGAACGGCAGCACAGUAAGAGCUUGCUCUUACGGGUGGCGAGUGGCGGACGAGUGAGGAAUACAUCGGAAUCUACUUUUUCGUGGGGGAUAACGUAGGGAAACUUACGCUAAUACCGCAUACGACCUACGGGUGAAAGCAGGGGAUCUUCGGACCUUGCGCGAUUGAAUGAGCCGAUGUCGGAUUAGCUAGUUGGCGGGGUAAAGGCCCACCAAGGCGACGAUCCGUAGCUGGUCUGAGAGGAUGAUCAGCCACACUAGAACCGAGACACGGUCCAGACUCCUACGGGACGCAGCAGUGGGGAAUAUUGGACAAUGGGCGCGAGCCUGAUCCAGCCAUACCGCGUGGGUGAAGGAGGCCUUCGGGUUGUGAAGCCCUUUUGUUGGGAGAGAAAAGCAGCAGGUUAAUACCCCGCUGUUCUGACGGUACCCAAAGAAUAAGCACCGGCUAACUUCGUG
rnacentral:rRNA from 1 species